ACUCCUACGGGAGGCAGCAGUGGGGAAUUUUGGACAAUGGGCGAAAGCCUGAUCCAGCCAUGCCGCGUGCAGGAUGAAGGCCUUCGGUUGUAAACUGCUUUUGUACGGAACGAAACGGCCUUUUCUAAUAAAGAGGGCUAAUGACGGUACCGUAAGAAUAAGCACCGGCUAACUACGUGCCAGCAGCCGCGGUAAUACGUAGGGGUGCAAGCGUUAAUCGGAAUUACUGGGCGUAAAGCGUGCGCAGGCGGUUAUGUAAGACAGUUGUGAAAUCCCCGGGGCUCAACCUGGGGAACUGCAUCUGUGACUGCAUAGCUAGAGUACGGUAGAGGGGGAUGGAAUUCCGCGUGUAGCAGUGAAAUGCGUAGAUAUGCGGAGGAACACCGAUGGCGAAGGCAAUCCCCUGGACCUGUACUGACGCUCAUGCACGAAAGCGUGGGGAGCAAACAGGAUUAGAUACCCUGGUAGGAUAGCG
rnacentral:rRNA from 1 species